ACGCGGACAAAGGUAGCUUGCUUCUGAUCUUAACGGCGGACGGGUGAGUUAUGCUUAGGAAUCUGCCUAUUUUUGGGGGACAACAUUUCGAAAGGAAUGCUAAUACCGCAUACGUCCUACGGGAGAAAGCAGGGGAUCUUCGGACCUUGCGCUAAUAGAUGAGCCUAAGUCGGAUUAGCUAGUUGGUGGGGUAAAGGCCUACCAAGGCGACGAUCUGUAGCGGGUCUGAAAGGAUGAUCCGCCACACUGGGACUGAGACACGGCCCAGACUCCUACGGGAGGCAGCAGUGGGGAAUAUUGGACAAUGGGCGCAAGCCUGAUCCAGCCAUGCCGCGUGUGUGAAGAAGGCCUUAUGGUUGUAAAGCACUUUAAGCGAGGAGGAGGCUACUUUAGUUAAUACCUAGAGAUAGUGGACGUUACUCGCAGAAUAAGCACCGGCUAACUCUGUGCCAGCAGCCGCGGUAAUACAGAGGGUGCAAGCGUUAAUCGGAUUUACUGGGCGUAAAGCGCGCGUAGGCGGCUAAUUAAGUCAAAUGUGAAAAUCCCCGAGCUUAACUUGGGAAUUGCAUUCGAUACUGGUUAGCUAGAGUGUGGGGAGAGGAUGGUAGAAUUCCAGGUGUACCGGUGAAAUGCGUAAAGAUCUGGAGGAAUACCGAUGGCCAAGGCAGCCAUCUGGCCUAACACUGACGCUGAGGUGCAAAAGCAUGGGGAGCAAACAGGAUUAGAUACCCUGGGUAGUUCCAUGCCCGUAAACGAUGUCUACUAGCCGUUGGGGGCCUUUGAGGCUUUAGUGGCGCAGCCUAACGCGAUAAGUAAACCGCCCUGGGGGAGUACGGGUCGCAUGACUAAAAACUC
rnacentral:rRNA from 1 species